GACGAACGCUGGCGGCGUGCUUAACACAUGCAAGUCGAGCGGAAAGGCCCUUCGGGGUACUCGAGCGGCGAACGGGUGAGUAACACGUGAGUAAUCUGCCCCUCACCCAGGGAUAACCGCGGGAAGCUGCGGCUAAUACUUGAUAUGACCACGUCUCGCAUGGGGUGUGGGGGAAAGCGUUUAGUGGCGAGGGAUGUGCUCGGGGCCUAUCAGCUUGUUGGUGAGGUAGUGGCUCCCCAAGGCUUCGACGGGUAGCCGGCCUGAGAGGGUGACCGGCCACACUGGGACUGAGACACGGCCCAGACUCCUACGGGAGGCAGCAGUGGGGAAUAUUGGACAAUGGGCGAAAGCCUGAUCCAGCAACGCCGCGUGAGGGAUGACGGCCUUCGGGUUGUAAACCUCUUUCACCUCUGACGAAGCGCAAGUGACGGUAAGGGGAGAAGAAGGACCGGCCAACUACGUGCCAGCCGCUGCGGUAAUAC
rnacentral:rRNA from 1 species